GUAGGGAAUAUUGGACAAUGGGCGAAAGCCUGAUCCAGCCAUGCCGCGUGAUAGACGAAGGCCCUCUGGGUUGUAAAUAUCUUUUAUCUGGGAAGAAACUCCUCUAUUCUUAGAGGCCUGACGGUACCAGAGGAAUAAGCACCGGCUAACUCCGUGCCAGCAGCCGCGGUAAUACGGAGGGUGCAAGCGUUAUCCGGAUUCACUGGGUUUAAAGGGUGCGUAGGCGGGUUGAUAAGUCAGUGGUGAAAGCUCCGGGCUUAACUUGGAAACUGCCAUUGAUACUGUCAGUCUUGAAUGUCGUAGAGGUAAGCGGAAUGUUGCAUGUAGCGGUGAAAUGCUUAGAUAUGUUACAGAACACCAAUUGCGAAGGCAGCUUACUAUGCGAUAAUUGACGCUGAGGCACGAAAGCGUGGGGAGCAAACAGGAUUAGAAACCCCAGUAGUCC
rnacentral:rRNA from 1 species